rnacentral:rRNA from 1 species
UACGUAGGGCGCAAGCGUUGUCCGGAAUUAUUGGGCGUAAAGAGCUCGUAGGCGGUCUGUUACGUCCGCUGUGAAAACCCAGGGCUUAACCCUGGGCUUGCAGUGGAUACGGGUAGACUAGAGGCAGGUAGGGGAGAAUGGAAUUCCCGGUGUAGCGGUGAAAUGCGCAGAUAUCGGGAGGAACACCAAUAGCGAAGGCAGCACUCUGGUACGUGACUGACGCUGAGACGCGAAAGCGUGGGGAGCAAACAGG